rnacentral:rRNA from 1 species
AGUCGGAAUCGCUAGUAAUCGCGUAUCAGAAUGACGCGGUGAAUACGUUCCCGGGCCUUGUACACACCGCCCGUCACACCAUGGGAGUGGGUUGCUCCAGAAGUAGAUAGUCUAACCCUCGGGAGGACGUUUACCACGGAGUGAUUCAUGACUGGGGUGAAGUCGUAACAAGGUAGCCCUAGGGGAACCUGGGGCUGGAUCACCUCCUUA